GUAGCCUUGCGCUUUCGAGGUUCUUCGGCGCGUGCGCCGAAGCUAAGAAGGGAACGCGGUCGAUGCCGCGGCUGCCCCCGCAACUGUGAACGGUUUCGUUUCUGCCAUACCACUGCGCUUUUUUGUUUUCAGGCGCGGGAAGGUGCAGGAACCGCCAGUCGAAAGACCGGCCCACCGUCAGCCAGGAGACCUGCCUCGAUACAGAUUCUCAC
rnacentral:ncRNA from 2 species